CGAAACGGCGAGAACGCUUCUGACGAGGAUUAGAAGCAACGCCAAAGAUUUGACUGACAAAAAUCUAAGCAUAGAAGUGCAAAUGAUAACAGAAAACCACACACCAUGUCCGGUAUGUUGGAAAUCUUUUACAUUUAUUGAUAUUACAGUGGUUUAAGACAUCUGUGACUGUGUUGGACAACAUUACUAACAGUGUAUUUGACCUCACAGAAGACGUUCUUCUGUUUGGCGGAGCAAGUUCUGGAGGAAGCAAAGAAAAACCAUUCAAAUAUCACCGAAGAUGUUGUCAAUCUCACUCGCAGGCUGCAUAGCUACAACCAGGUAAAGAGGAGUUCAUGUAUGUCAGCGAGUUGUUAGUAGGCUCACACCGAGCCAAAGCGUCAAAUGAUUUACAGUGAAUCUAAACAGCAUAUCCUCUAAUAUUUAAUACCAUCUAUAAUGUUAAACAGGUUUUAUGUAAAUUUAGUCGUGUUUGGUAUUUUUUGUGAUCUUAAAAUGUACAUUUUCAAAAUUAAC